GAUGAACGCUAGCGGCAGGCCUAACACAUGCAAGUCGAGGGGUAACAUAGGAAAGCUUGCUUUUCUGAUGACGACCGGCGCACGGGUGCGUAACGCGUAUACAACCUACCUUUUAGCGGGGAAUAGCCCAGGGAAACUUGGAUUAAUGCCCCAUAGUAUAUAGACUUCUCCUGAGGUUUAUAUUAAACAUUUAUGGCUAUUAGAUGGGUAUGCGUCCUAUUAGUUAGUUGGUAAGGUAACGGCUUACCAAGGCAGCGAUAGGUAGGGGUCCUGAGAGGGAGAUCCCCACACUGGUACUGAGACACGGACCAGACUCCUACGGGAGGCAGCAGUGAGGAAUAUUGGACAAUGGGCGAGAGCCUGAUCCAGCCAUGCCGCGUGCAGGAAGACUGCCCUAUGGGUUGUAAACUGCUUUUACAGAGGAAGAACCACCCCCACGUGUGGGGGUUUGACGGUACUCUGCGAAUAAGGAUCGGCUAACUCCGUG
rnacentral:rRNA from 1 species